rnacentral:rRNA from 1 species
UACGAAGGGGGGCUAGCGUUGCUCGGAAUUACUGGGCGUAAAGGGCGCGUAGGCGGGUCGUUUAAGUUGGGGGGUGAAAGCCCAGGGCUCAACCCCUGGAAUUGCCUUCAAUACUGGCGACCUUGAGUAUGGCAGAGGUGUGUGGGAACUCCGAGUGUAGAGGUGAAAUUCGUAGAUAUUCGGAAGAACACCAGUGGCGAAGGCGACACACUGGGCCAUUACUGACGCUGAGGCGGCGAAAGCGUGGGGAGCAAACAGG